UCAAAGGAUGGUGAUAAAGAAGUUCAUCUUCAACAGUGUGAGAAAGAACUGGAAAUCAUGCAAUGCUGACAGAUGGUGACCCUACAUGAUAUGGAAAUGAGCAGCUACAGUCAGACAGGAAUUGGUGGAAAAACCUAGAAAAUGCAAUUCUGAUGAAUGUUGAUCUCUCAAGGACUACAACCAGGCAGAGUUGGUGGAAUCAACUGGAAAAGACAAGACUGAUGGAUGUUAACCUUCCCAACAGCAAGACUUGCCACAAUGGAUUACUGUCACUGAUCAGUGUGUUUUGAUGAUUUGGUGACAGUACCCAGUAUGAGACUCAGAUGAAGUCUGACAUGUGGAUGUGCUUGGCAUGAAAGACAAGAAACCUUCAGAAAAUAAAAGCAUUGAAGAGGCAUAUCCUUGAGAUCAUAUUUGGAGAAAAUCAAUGAAAAGUGACAUUAUGCAGAAAGCCAGAUCUGUGAAGCACACACAAGCACAUCCAUUUUUAUUGUCCAAAACAAAUUUGUUCGAGGCAUUUGUUUUGGAACGGGGUGUCUGAGUUGUAAGAGGGUAUGGGGUCACCCACUCAGACACGUGGGUUUUCUCCGGGUGCUCCGGUUUCCCCCCACACUGACCCCUCAUUCUUUUUCUCUAUGUGCAAAU